UGGGGAAUUUUGGACAAUGGGCGAAAGCCUGAUCCAGCAAUGCCGCGUGUGUGAAGAAGGCCUUCGGGUUGUAAAGCACUUUUGUCCGGAAAGAAAUGGCUCUGGAUAAUACCUGGGGUCGAUGACGGUACCGGAAGAAUAAGGACCGGCUAACUACGUGCCAGCAGCCGCGGUAAUACGUAGGGUCCAAGCGUUAAUCGGAAUUACUGGGCGUAAAGCGUGCGCAGGCGGUUGUGCAAGACCGAUGUGAAAUCCCCGAGCUUAACUUGGGAAUUGCAUUGGUGACUGCACGGCUAGAGUGUGUCAGAGGGGAGUAGAAUUCCACGUGUAGCAGUGAAAUGCGUAGAGAUGUGGAGGAAUACCGAUGGAGAAGGCAGCCCCCUGGGAUAACACUGACGCUCAUGCACGAAAGCGUGGGGAGCAAACAGG
rnacentral:rRNA from 1 species